UUAAUAACACCUGGAUUAUUUUGCUGCAUCUGUGAUUUCUGACAAUUCAUCACUUCUUCAGCUGUGACGAGGUCAACUGAAAAGAAGCUCAUCAGUACUACGUGCUCAAGUUCAUAUACUCUACCUGACACAUAUGAGAUCAGACCAGAUGAUGACUCUUUCCACUUAAAAUUCCUCUGUGGGAGGAAUUUCAUCCAGUGAACUGUUAAGAGCGCUGGAAGGAACAUAUGGAAGGCUUACUUAUCUCCUAGACCAUCUGCACGCUACAAAUAAUGUUAGCCCUUUCACUGGUUAAUGCCAUAAACUACAAUACCAAAGGAUGACUCCAAAGGGAAACAAAGAACUCUUCCCAAAGAAGAUGAAUGCAGUACCACUUCUGCUAAUCCUAAUUUACUUAGAAUUUACUGACGAUACUUCUGUCACCUCAUCCAUCACGGGCAGACACUGGAGCGGGAGAGGAGUAAGCA